CACCACCCCACCGACCCCCGCCGGCCCUAGCCAGUGGUAAAUACAAUGAAGCCAAGGAAAACGGGGGAUUCUGCACCUGCGUCAGGGACAGUCUGGCCAAAGCCUCUGCUCUGCCUCCGGGGACGAGGAGCUAGCACAAAUAACCGUUUUGAAAUUGGAUCUUGACAAAAUCUGCAACGAAUCCAUAAAGGAAACUGAAAGCAGUUUGAUCUUCAUCUUCAGUGACAGUCCCACAAAAGUUGAAGAAAUAUGUUAUGUCUCCAAAGAAGAGUACAGUUGUGCCCUAAAAUUCAAACAUGAUUAAGG
rnacentral:lncRNA from 1 species